rnacentral:tRNA from 1 species
GGCGUAGUAGCCAAGUGGUAAGGCAUGGGUCUGCAAAACCCUUAUACGCGGGUUCGAUUCCCGCCUACGCCU